rnacentral:rRNA from 1 species
UCGGGUGCCUGUACGUCAAACGUCCUAAUAAGCCGGGGUACUACAAGCUUACCUUAAAACCCCUAGGACUUGACGGACCCCCACCCGCCUCAAAGACCCUGUUCUGAACCCGGUGAUCCACCAUAAACCCCCCCCCUUUUUGCUCCACCCCCGGUAUACCGCCCUCUUCAGCAAACACAUAAGCCAACA